UACGUAGGGGGCAAGCGUUGUCCGGAAUUACUGGGCGUCAAGCGCGCGUAGGCGGGCUGGCAGGCGGCGUGUGGAAGGCGGGGGCUCAACCCCCGAUGGGCGCGCCGAACCGCUGGUCUUGGGACGGCGAGGGGCAGGUGGAAUGGUCGGAGGAGCGGUGAAAUGCGUAGAUAUCAGGAGGAACACCGAUGGCGAAGGCAGGUCUCUGGGCUGACACUGACGCUCAUGCACGAAAGCGUGGGGAGCAAACAGG
rnacentral:rRNA from 1 species